AAGUCAGGUAGUAAGGGCGCAGGGCGGAUGCCUUGGCUCUGGGAAGCGAUGAAGGACGUGGCUAGCUGCGAUAAGCCUCGGGGAAGAGCAAACAUCUUUUGAUCCGGGGAUUUCCGAAUGGGGGAACCCGUAUGGCUGUUGAGGCCAUGCACUGCUGAGUGAAUACAUAGCUCAUCAGGGCGAACUCGGGGAACUGAAACAUCUCAGUACCCGAAGGAAUAGAAAUCAACCGAGAUUCUGCUAGUAGCGGCGAGCGAAAGCGGAAGAGCCCAAACCGUCGGGUACGCCCGGCGGGGUUGUAGGGCCGUCAAUAAAAGAUAAUUGGAGAAUUAGCUGAAGUGUCUGGGAAGGUACGGCAUAGAGGGUUAGACCCCCGUAAGCGAAAGUUUGAAGAUGUCCGAGACGGUACCUGAGUAGGACGGGACACGAGAAAUCCCGUUUGAAUCUGGGGGGACCACCCUCCAAGGCUAAAUAUUACCCAGAGACCGAUAGUGAACCAGUACCGUGAGGGAAAGGUGAAAAGCACCUCGAACAGAGGAGUGAAAUAGAUCCUGAAACCCUGUGUCUACAAGCAGUGGAAGCAUUACUGAUCUUCGGAUCAUGUGCGACCGCGUGCCUUUUGCAUAAUGAGCCAACGAGUUGUCUGUCGGUGGCAGGUUAAGUUUUUAACGAAGCCACAGCGAAAGCGAGUCCGAAAUGGGCGUUAGUCAUCGGCAACAGACCCGAAACCGAGUGAUCUACCCCUGUCCAGGUUGAAGCCUGGGUAAGACCAGGUGGAGGACCGAACCGUUGAGCCUUAAAACGUUCUCGGAUGAGGUGGGGGUAGGAGUGAAAGGCUAAUCAAACUCGGAGAUAGCUGGUUCUCCCCGAAAUAUAUUGAGGUAUAGCCUCGUGAUAGACCGUCGGAGGUAGAGCACUGGAUGGACUAGGGCCCUCACCAGGGUACCAAACCCAACCAAACUGCGAAUACCGGCGAGUUGUUUCACGGGAGUCAGACAGCGGGAGCUAACUUUCGUUGUCGAAAGGGAAACAACCCAGACCAUCAGCUAAGGCCCCCAAGUCAUGACUAAGUGGGAAAGGAAGUGGGAGUGCCCAGACAACCAGGAGGUUGGCUUAGAAGCAGCC
rnacentral:rRNA from 1 species